AGAGUUUGAUCCUGGCUCAGGAUGAACGCUAGCUACAGGCUUAACACAUGCAAGUCGAGGGGCAGCAUGGUCUUAGCUUGCUAAGGCCGAUGGCGACCGGCGCACGGGUGAGUAACGCGUAUCCAACCUGCCCAUCACUUGGGGAUAACCUUGCGAAAGUAAGACUAAUACCCAAUGAUAUCUCUAGAAGACAUCUGAAAGAGAUUAAAGAUUUAUCGGUGAUGGAUGGGGAUGCGUCUGAUUAGCUUGUUGGCGGGGUAACGGCCCACCAAGGCAACGAUCAGUAGGGGUUCUGAGAGGAAGGUCCCCCACAUUGGAACUGAGACNCGGUCCAAACUCCUACGGGAGGCAGCA
rnacentral:rRNA from 1 species